CUAAACAUGCAGUCGAGCGGAUGGAUUAAGAGCUUGCUCUUAUGAAGUUAGCGGCGGACGGGUGAGUAACACGUGGGUAACCUGCCCAUAAGACUGGGAUAACUCCGGGAAACCGGGGCUAAUACCGGAUAACAUUUUGAACCGCAUGGUUCGAAAUUGAAAGGCGGCUUCGGCUGUCACUUAUGGAUGGACCCGCGUCGCAUUAGCUAGUUGGUGAGGUAACGGCUCACCAAGGCAACGAUGCGUAGCCGACCUGAGAGGGUGAUCGGCCACACUGGGACUGAGACACGGCCCAGACUCCUACGGGAGGCAGCAGUAGGGAAUCUUCCGCAAUGGACGAAAGUCUGACGGAGCAACGCCGCGUGAGUGAUGAAGGCUUUCGGGUCGUAAAACUCUGUUGUUAGGGAAGAACAAGUGCUAGUUGAAUAAGCUGGCACCUUGACGGUACCUAACCAGAAAGCCACGGCUAACUACGUGCCAGCAGCCGCGGUAAUACGUAGGUGGCAAGCGUUAUCCGGAAUUAUUGGGCGUAAAGCGCGCGCAGGUGGUUUCUUAAGUCUGAUGUGAAAGCCCACGGCUCAACCGUGGAGGGUCAUUGGAAACUGGGAGACUUGAGUGCAGAAGAGGAAAGUGGAAUUCCAUGUGUAGCGGUAAA
rnacentral:rRNA from 1 species